rnacentral:rRNA from 1 species
CCUACGGGUGGCAGCAGUGGGGAAUAUUGGACAAUGGGCGAAAGCCUGAUCCAGCCAUGCCGCGUGUGUGAAGAAGGCCUUCGGGUUGUAAAGCACUUUCAGUGGGGAAGAAAGCCUUGGGGCUAAUACCCUCGAGGAAGGACAUCACCCACAGAAGAAGCACCGGCUAACUCCGUGCCAGCAGCCGCGGUAAUACGGAGGGUGCGAGCGUUAAUCGGAAUUACUGGGCGUAAAGCGCGCGUAGGCGGUCUGAUAAGCCGGUUGUGAAAGCCCCGGGCUCAACCUGGGAACGGCAUCCGGAACUGUCAGGCUAGAGUGCAGGAGAGGAAGGUAGAAUUCCCGGUGUAGCGGUGAAAUGCGUAGAGACCGGGAGGAAUACCAGUGGCGAAGGCGGCCUUCUGGACUGACACUGACGCUGAGGUGCGAAAGCGUGGGUAGCAAACAGGAUUAGAUACCCUAGUAGUC